UACAGAGGGUGCAAGCGUUAAUCGGAAUUACUGGGCGUAAAGCGAGCGUAGUCGGUUAUUUAAGUCGGGUGUGAAAGCCCCGGGCUCAACCUGGGAAUUGCAUUCGAUACUGGAUAGCUAGAGUUCGGCAGAGGGAAGCGGAAUUUCCGGUGUAGCGGUGAAAUGCGUAGAUAUCUGGAGGAAUACCGGUGGCGAAGGCGGCAUCCUGGACCGAGAUUGACACUGAUGAGCGAAAGCUAGGGGAGCAAACGGG
rnacentral:rRNA from 1 species